AAGGCGGUAUCCGAAAAGCCCACAGAACAGAGUAGGAA
rfam:Chryseobacterium sp. BLS98 contig01, whole genome shotgun sequence.